UUCUAAUAGAUAUUUAUUAUUAGUAAUAUCUGCUCAAUGAAAUUUAUAUAGCCGCAAUUCUGUGCUAAGGUAGCAUAAUCAUUUGUCUUUUUAUUAAAGGCUAGAACGAAAGAUUUAACAUUUUAAUUUCUUUUAAAAAAUAAUAAUUCUAAAUUUUCUUAAAUAUAAAAAGAUAUUUAUAUAAAAAAUAGACGAUAAGACCCUAUUGAACUUAACUUUAGUUAAACUGGGGUAGUUAAUUAAUUAAAAUUUUAAUACUAAUUAUUUAGAUAAAAGACCCUAAAAAUUAGAUUUAAUAAUUAAGUUACCAUAGGGAUAACAGCGUAAUAUUUAUUUUAAGAUCUUAUAAAAAUAAAAGAUUGCGACCUCGAUGUUGAAUAAUAUUCUUUUAGGUGCAACCAUCUAAAAAGAAAGUCUGUUCGACUUUUAAAAAAUUACA
rnacentral:rRNA from 1 species